rnacentral:rRNA from 1 species
GGGUGAGUAACGCGUGGAUAAUCUACCUACGAGAUGGGGAUAACUAUUAGAAAUAGUAGCUAAUACCGAAUAAAGUCAAUUAAGAUGUUAGUUGAUGAAAGGAAGCCUUUAAAGCUUCGCUUGUAGAUGAGUCUGCGUCUUAUUAGCUAGUUGGUGGGAUAAGAGCCUACCAAGGCUAUGAUAAGUAACCGGCCUGAGAGGGUGAUCGGUCACACUGGAACUGAGAUACGGUCCAGACUCCUACGGGAGGCAGCAGCUAAGAAUCUUCCGCAAUGGGCGAAAGCCUGACGGAGCGACACUGCGUGAACGAAGAAGGUCGAAAGAUUGUAAAGUUCUUUUAUAAGUGAGGAAUAAGCUUUGUAGGAAAUGACAAAGCGAUGACGUUAAUUUAUGAAUAAGCCCCGGCUAAUUACGUGCCAGCAGCCGCGGUAAUACGUAAGGGGCGAGCGUUGUUCGGGAUCAUUGGGCGUAAAGGGUGAGUAGGCGGAUAUGCAAGUCUAUGUGUAAAAUACCACAGCUCAACUGUGGAACUAUGCUGGAAACUGCAUGACUAGAGUCUGAUAGGGGAAGUUAGAAUUCCUGGUGUAAGGGUGGAAUCUGUUGAUAUCAGGAAGAAUACCAGAGGCGAAGGCGAACUUCUAGGUCAAGACUGACGCUGAGUCACGAAAGCGUAGGGAGCAAACAGGAUUAGAUACCCUGGUAGUCUACGCUGUAAACGAUGCACACUUGGUGUUAAUCGAAAGGUUAGUACCGAAGCUAACGUGUUAAGUGUGCCGCCUGGGGAGUAUGUUCGCAAGAAUGAAACUCAAAGGAAUUGACGGGGGCCCGCACAAGCGGUGGAGCAUGUGGUUUAAUUCGAUGAUACGCGAGGAACCUUACCAGGGCUUGACAUAUACAGGAUAUAGUUAGAGAUAACUAUUCCCCGUUUGGGGUCUGUAUACAGGUGCUGCAUGGUUGUCGUCAGCUCGUGCCGUGAGGUGUUGGGUUAAGUCCCGCAACGAGCGCAACCCUUGUUGUCUGUUACCAGCAUGUAAAGAUGGGGACUCAGACGAGACUGCCGGUGAUAAGCCGGAGGAAGGUGAGGAUGACGUCAAAUCAUCAUGGCCCUUAUGUCCUGGGCUACACACGUGCUACAAUGGCCUGUACAAAGCGAUGCGAAACAGUGAUGUGAAGCAAAACGCAGAAAGCAGGUCUCAGUCCAGAUUGAAGUCUGAAACUCGGCUUCAUGAAGUUGGAAUCGCUAGUAAUCGUAUAUCAGAAUGAUACGGUGAAU